rnacentral:rRNA from 1 species
UACGUAGGGUGCAAGCGUUAAUCGGAAUUACUGGGCGUAAAGCGUGCGCAGGCGGUUUUGUAAGACAGAGGUGAAAUCCCCGGGCUCAACCUGGGAACUGCCUUUGUGACUGCAAGGCUUGAGUGCGGCAGAGGGGGAUGGAAUUCCGCGUGUAGCAGUGAGAUGCGUAGAUAUGCGGAGGAACACCGAUGGCGAAGGCAAUCCCCUGGGCCUGCACUGACGCUCAUGCACGAAAGCGUGGGGAGCAAACAGG